rnacentral:rRNA from 1 species
UACGUAGGUCCCGAGCGUUGUCCGGAUUUAUUGGGCGUAAAGCGAGCGCAGGUGGUUUAUUAAGUCUGGUGUAAAAGGCAGUGGCUCAACCAUUGUAUGCAUUGGAAACUGGUAGACUUGAGUGCAGGAGAGGAGAGUGGAAUUCCAUGUGUAGCGGUGAAAUGCGUAGAUAUAUGGAGGAACACCGGUGGCGAAAGCGGCUCUCUGGUCUGUAACUGACGCUGAGGCUCGAAAGCGUGGGGAGCAAACAGG